AAGCUCGUAGUUGAAUUUCGGGGUUAGUAGGUUGGUCAUGCCUCUGGUAUGUACUGGUCUCACUGAUUCCUCCUUCCUUAUGAACCGUAAUGCCAUUAAUUUGGUGUUGCGGGGAAUUUGGACUAUUACUUUGAAAAAAUUAGAGUGUUUAAAGCAAGCUAACGCUUGAAUACAUUAGCAUGGAAUAAUGAAAUAGGACGUUCGAUCUUAUUUUGUUGGUUUCUAGGAUUGACGUAAUGAUUAAUAGGGAUAGUUGGG
rnacentral:rRNA from 1 species